CUUGGGUACUGUAUAAAACCUACAACUACUAGCAGGGUGACCAGACUGGUCUUGGGUACUGUAUAAAACCUACAACUACUAGCAGGGUGACCCCCUCCCUCCCCCUCCACACAGGUAUGUUUUCACUUUUCUGAAUAUUGUCAAAUAAGACACAGCCUAAACAUUGCUAUGACAGAUUUGAAUGAAUCCCAGCCUUAGUGUCCUUAAUAGUCAAUAAGUACACACUACUAUGUGUCCUACUGCCAUCACUAGUCACAAAGGGUAGUAGAGGAUAUUAUAUAAAUAUUCCAACAAAUAGACUACGAUUCAUUCAAAUGAAAUGUCCCAGAUGUUCGUGAGAUGUUCACUGUCAACCCUGUUGAUUUGAUUGAAUUCCAGCCAUAUUACCAGCAGAUGUAUGGCUGAAUGAAUGAUAGGUAGCCUGGGUCCCUUCACAGACUGUAGAGUAGCGCCCAAUCCAAAAUAGACCCCUGGACACUUCUCCCCUCACCAAUGCUCAGGGCCCUUCAUUCAGAUGUCAAACUAUUGGGUUUAAGCAAUGUAGAGCCAUUUGAUGUAGGUGGACUUUCUGGCCAUAUAGUUUACAUUUAUCUAAUCCUUUCAGAUGAGUAGUGAUGUAUAGGGGACAGGGGACAGGGAUUAACUAGAGGUUCUGGUGUACAGUAGACUAGCUAGCUGGGGUCUGUUCAGCGAGGGGACAGGGAUUAACUAGAGGUUCUGGUGUACAGUAGACUAGCUAGCUGGGGUCUGUUCAGCGAGGGGACAGGGAUUAACUAGAGGUUCUGAUGUACAGUAGACUAGCUAGCUGGGGUCUGUUCAGCGAGGGGACAGGGAUUAUCUAGAGGUUCUGGUGUACAGUAGACUAGCUAGCUGGGGUCUGUUCAGCGAGGGGACAGGGAUUAUCUAGAGGUUCUGGUGUACAGUAGACUAGCUAGCUGGGGUCUGUUCAGCGAGGGGACAGGGAUUAUCUAGAGGUUCUGAUGUACAGUAGACUAGCUGGGGUCUGUUCAGCGAGGCUGCAGAUGGAAAACCAUUCAUGACGUCCUGUCUGUUCUGUUCUACACCAUAUAUAUUUCUAAGUAUGGUGUUUUGUAACGUUCCACCCUGCUGAACAGAGACCAGGUGAUGAUGUAAAUACAAUGUAACUACCUCUGAACUAGUUUGUUAUUGUUCCUAUGGACAGGUUGCCUGAAGUCAUGAAAAUGAUGCAGAAGGCCUUACAGUACAGGACACAACAGGUGUAUAACAGUACAGGACACAAGUGUAUAACAGUACAUUAUUCAACUGAUAGUCUGAUAGAGAGGCAUCUAGGUCAGAUGACAAGAAGCUGAAUGUCGUUGGUCAGAUGAAGCUGCCAUGUGGCUCAUUUCAACUAGUUUUGUCUUGUUAGAACUGACCUCAAGUUAAUGCUAAAAUUCGCUAUCUAACAACUGUCACAAUAUAUUUGAAACAAGUACUCAUUCUACACAUGUAUGUGUUCAAUAAACAUUGGAGAUGAA
ensembl:lncRNA